rnacentral:rRNA from 1 species
CUAUGCGCCUUGCCAGCCCGCUCAGGUGUGCCAGCCGCCGCGGUAAUACGGAGGAUGCGAGCGUUAUCCGGAUUUAUUGGGUUUAAAGGGUGCGUAGGCGGGAUGCCAAGUCAGCGGUAAAAAUGCGGUGCUCAACGCCGUCGAGACGUUGAAACUGGCGUUCUUGAGUGGGCGAGAAGUAUGCGGAAUGCGUGGUGUAGCGGUGAAAUGCAUAGAUAUCACGCAGAACUCCGAUUGCGAAGGCAGCAUACCGGCGCCCGACUGACGCUGAGGCACGAAAGCGUGGGUAUCGAACAGG